CAAAGAAAGCGCCACCACCAAGACGGUUCAAAUUCAAAUUCUAACAGUUGGCGAUAUAAGGAGAUUGGGUCUGAGAGUUUUUUUUAAAUCGUUGAUUAAAUAAUGUCUCGCUUGCCAGUCAUGUCAAACAAGAGGGUCUUUGCUCGCAGCAGUUCAGAUGUUGGCCAAGACUUGGAGACUGAGCCGGCUCAGAAGAAAAAGCGUAAUGAUGCAGAAGCAGUCAGACCGCAGGCUGCAGCCACUGUGGUGGUUAGCAAGCGGCCUCCUGUUCCAGCGUCCAGCG